CGCAUUAUAAAACCCAAUUCAUAAAAACUCACUAUUUAUAAAACUCUUAUUACUACCAAGUCCAACUUCACAAAAAAAUUACAUCUUUCAAUCCGAUCAAAAAUUAUAAACCGUAGCUCACUUUAAACCUUUUUCAUAAACUGCAUUUUGACUUGACAUCAUAAUUACAACAUUAUUUAGUUUUUUCCAAAAUUUUUACAAAAUAAACUGACGACAGCAAUACACAAACUGUUAUAAUUCAAAAAAAAGUAAGUAUAAAUUGAGGAUUAUCAAAUUAAUAAGCAAGCUCCCCUGGUAGGAUAUAUAACACCGCCAAGCCUUUUAAGUUUCAAACAACUAUAAAACUAAAUAAUAUGUUCACAUUUAUACUACUUAAGUAAUAAAAUUUUUAAGAUAAAGAA
rnacentral:rRNA from 1 species